rnacentral:lncRNA from 1 species
CCCCUAGCACAUUGAGUGCUUGCACCUCGGAAUAGUAUCUCAGCUGGCUUCAUUCAUAAUGUACUCGUGCCCCAGGGUUGUAUAGGCACCUAGAUAAGAAUAAGGGUGUAAGAACCCAGUAACAAUACACCAAACACCCAACAGACCAACACAAACUCAACACCACACACUUACAGCAUAACACACCUGAGGAAAUAACUGGAGGCCGACCCUAACAACACCAAACAGCCAUUGGGACUAAUCACCAGGGAGGGGGGUAUACAGGAGGGAUAACCAUCGAGCCCCUGCCGAGCACAACCGACGCUCCUCUCCAGCUAAAAUGAGAGCCCCAGCAACACUUGGAACUAAGACCCAUUGAAAACACAGCCAUUAUGAUGAUUCCAGAGAAUCCAGGCACCAAAAAUGAUUAGGGAAUUAACACCUUGUCUCACCAAUUCAGAAGUAGCACUACUAGCUCUGUCCCACCAAACGAGGAAGGUGUUUUCUGAAGGUUGCGGAUAUAAGGCCUGAAGGCUGACCUAUCUUAGCAAAAGAAACCAAAAAUCCCUAGCAACCAACCAGGAGAUGGUUGAUGGUUUCAUCAUUGUGAUCACAAAGUGGACUGCACUCCGGGCGGGGCAGCCUACUAGAGGAGGUUAGAAACACUGCUUACUUUGAAGCUAUAGCAAAUUAUAGAAGUAGAAAAAAAAUUGAUUACUUAUAAGGUCUGAUUAGUUUAGUAUAUGAUCAAAAAGAAAUGAUGCAAAUUGCUGUAGAUUUUUUAAAAACUUGUUUGCCAAUAUUAAGUUAGGUGAUAACUUUUGGGAUUCCCAAGAUAUGCAUGCAGAGGUAUGUUCCACUGUUUCCUAUUUAGCUAAUGCUGGUGUUUCCAUUCAUUAAACUACUACAUAAUUGCAAUAAAUACUGAAAACACUUUGUCAUCUGUUUCAUCUGACAGCAAGGCUGCAAUUAUUGAGAUGAUAAAAGCUAAAAAGUGACUCCAGCCAUGAGGACACAACCUUAAUCUCCAUGCUACUUCGCAAGUACUAGACAGCUUGACAAUUAGCUUGGGAUUCCAUCUUUCAGUUCUCCAAAUCCAUGCAGAAAAAAUGGGGAAACCGGGAAACCUAUAGCCAAAGCGGAGUCGUAAUAUAAGAGAUUUUGGGUACUGGUCACCCAGUCAACCAAUACUUCCUUCAAUCCCAAAUUCCAAAUUCCCCACAAUGUAAAUCUGCAUGCCUAUAGCAGUUGCAGUGCGCAGCUGCAAAGCAGAUGGGAGAUGAAGGAGCCCAUAGGGGUUCGAGCAGUACCAUGAAGAGGUCGAGCUCUUCGUGGCCGGUCAGCCCUCCAGCGGCCACAGCCAAGCGAUGGCAGUGCAUGCCAAGUGGCGUGAUGUGAUCUGCGCAUUGAUGUGAGCGAGCUACAAUGAUUGGUGCUUUACAUGACGAUGGAUUUGGUCACAAAUUGCCAAGAAUACGUCACAGUCAACUAUCCAUAACGAACGAGAAAUCCGUCAUAUAUCUCACGUCAUACAUUUGUUGCACCGAAUUGAGCCGUCACAGAUUCGUAUUUAUUUCUGUCAUAGAU